CUAUCAGAGAACCAGCAACUGGAAUUAAUAACAGAGUCUGUCAGUAGCUACAGCAGCCCAGUCCAGUGAAGACACCAUGAAGAAGAACAAUCUGUUUGAUCUGCCUCAUCAAAGAGCCAGCCCAGGCCAAGCUAGAUGAAAGCUAGAAAAAAGCAAGAAAGGAGAAAAAGUGGGAGUCAAGAGGAGAAAGAAGAAGACAGUGAAGAAAGAAGGAAGCAGGAGAAGAAGCAAGCAAGGAGGGUGGUUCGUCGCUGAGGCUGACGCCAUAGCCUCAAAGGACUUGCGCAACUGAAGAGCCCUCGGACAUCUUGGAAUUGAUCAGACCAAGUUUAUAAAUGGAAAAUUCAUAAACUUAACAUGCUGUGGUUCCUGGGUUCUCAACAUGACCCUGGGAAAAUGAUGGAAACAAGUCUCUGGCAUCUAUUUCUUGUUGUUUUCUUGUUCCUAUUACAAACCCAUGCACUGACAGAGCUCUAGGCAAAGAAUGCUAGGAAUUGAAGAACAUUGACUAGACUAAGCCAGCCUGUGUGGAGUCAGGAAAAAGUCUAAGGGGAGACUAGCUCGUUAAGACUCAAACAGUAUCCUCCUCUUCUCAGGUGAAAUGAGCUUUGAUAACUGGCACUGUGAGCUCACCUGGGCAACCAGGGGCCAGGGCACAUAGGUUCUAGUCAGCUACUAACUUGUUGAGUCAAUCUUCUUACUAAAAACUUUGUUAUGAAAUUAUUAAAAUAUUUAUUAUUA
rnacentral:lncRNA from 1 species